rnacentral:rRNA from 1 species
CCUACGUGAGGCAGCAGUGGGGAAUAUUGCACAAUGGGGGAAACCCUGAUGCAGCGACGCCGCGUGAGUGAUGAAGUAUUUCGGUAUGUAAAGCUCUAUCAGCAGGGAAGAUAAUGACGGUACCUGACUAAGAAGCUCCGGCUAAAUACGUGCCAGCAGCCGCGGUAAUACGUAUGGAGCAAGCGUUAUCCGGAUUUACUGGGUGUAAAGGGAGCGCAGACGGCAGGGCAAGUCUGAUGUGAAAGUCCGGGGCUCAACCCCGGGACUGCAUUGGAAACUGUCCGGCUAGAGGGCAGGAGAGGUAAGUGGAAUUCCUGGUGUAGCGGUGAAAUGCGUAGAUAUUAGGAGGAACACCAGUGGCGAAGGCGGCUUACUGGACUGUAACUGACGUUGAGGCUCGAAAGCGUGGGGAGCAAACAGGAUUAGAUACCCUUGUAGUC